rnacentral:misc_RNA from 1 species
GAUAAGAACGCAGCGAAAUGCGAUAAGUAGUGUGAAUUGCAGAAUUCAGUGAAUCAUCGAAUCUUUGAACGCACAUUGCGCCCCUUGGUAUUCCAUGGGGCAUGCCUGUUCGAGCGUCAUCUACACCCUCAAGCUCUGCUUGGUGUUGGGCGUCUGUCCCGCCCCCGCGCGUGGACUCGCCCCAAAUCCAUUGGCAGCGUUCCUUGCCCCCUCUCGCGCAGCACAUUGCGCUUCUCGAGGGCGGCUCCGGGACGCGAUCCAGCAAGAUGACCACCGUCUUUGACCUCGGAUCAGGUAGGGAUACCCGCUGAACUUAAGCAUAUCAAUAAGCGGAGGA